GUGAUGACCGGCUUCGGCGGCGGCUGGAACGCUCCGGGCUCAGAAGGCCCAGUGCUGUGCUGCCGGACAGGCCCCGCGUGGACCCCUGCGGGAGCGGACGACGAAGAAAUUCAAUUUCGAAAAAUGAAAACUUAUGGAUGGAAUGAAGAAAUAACUAUGCAAGACAUUGAGAGACAUGGGUUAUGAAGGCUCCAGCGUUACUGAAUUUGUACUCGGCUUGCCGAGGUUUGGUUCAGCUCCACAUCAGGGAGGGCCCACGUGGAGACUCAAGAUCAG